AAACUAAACAUAUAACACACAUCUUUCCUAAUUCUCUCUCUCACUUUCUCUCUCUAAGCUAGGGUACUACACACAGCUUUAGGGCUCUCUUCUCUCUGCAUCUCUCUCAAAUAUUGGUGGUAGAAUGGUAACGGCGACGGUGAACAAGCGGUAUUGAAGGUUAAUCACUGAAUCCCGUGAUUGUAGCUAUCAAGACUGCCUCUUUUCUUCAGGGAGACGAAUCCACAACCUAGGAAGCAUACACUUUGGCAAGCAACAUCUGAUUUUACUAGUGGACAGGCCAGUAUACACAAAAUAUGAAAAUGGGGAAAAGAGUCCACUUUUCUUGAGGUCUACGAAGAGAUGCAUAGGAAGAAAAAGAAGGACGCUACAAGAGGAGAUUGGGUCGAAACGCGUGCUAAGGAUGCAUAUGAAGAAUUUCAAAAAAAAGCAUAGAAGAGUGGCGUCAAACCCAACCUACUUCAGAAGAUAGUACCAUGGUCCAACCAUCACCUGCAGAUAUGACUAAUAUGUGGACAGCUGUGGUAGGUGGUCCAAAGAAAGGUAGAACCCACGGGACAGAGGUUCUCCAAUCCUCGAGUAGUCCUUCGUUGUUUCUUAGUUCCUCUUCUACUUUGCAAACAAUGGAAGAAAUGGAAGCGAUGAAAAAUCAAAUUGUGGAAUUGACGUAGCAAUGUGUAGCUAACGAUGCUGAGUUUGCUAAAUUUUAGGAGUUGGUUAAGAAGCGCAUGCCUCAAGUAUUUCAUGAUGAGGAAGAUAAUGAAUCUGAUGAUAAUUAGAUUGUAGUUAUUGUUCUUGUUUUUGGUUGUGACAUUUAGAUGUUUAAACUAUUUGAUUUGAUGUUGUUUUGGAUGUUUUAAAGUGGUUGUAUUUAUAAAUCUUUGUCUUGUUUGAUCC